UAGGGAAUCUUCCACAAUGGACGCAAGUCUGAUGGAGCAACGCCGCGUGAGUGAAGAAGGUCUUCGGAUCGUAAAGCUCUGUUGUUGGUGAAGAAGGAUAGAGGCAGUAACUGGUCUUUAUUUGACGGUAAUCAACCAGAAAGUCACGGCUAACUACGUGCCAGCAGCCGCGGUAAUACGUAGGUGGCAAGCGUUGUCCGGAUUUAUUGGGCGUAAAGCGAGCGCAGGCGGAAUGAUAAGUCUGAUGUGAAAGCCCACGGCUCAACCGUGGAACUGCAUCGGAAACUGUCAUUCUUGAGUGCAGAAGAGGAGAGUGGAACUCCAUGUGUAGCGGUGGAAUGCGUAGAUAUAUGGAAGAACACCAGUGGCGAAGGCGGCUCUCUGGUCUGCAACUGACGCUGAGGCUCGAAAGCAUGGGUAGCGAACAGGAUUAGAUACCCUGGUAGUCCAUGCCGUAAACGAUGAGCGCUAGGUGUUGGGGACUUUCCGGUCCUCAGUGCCGCAGCAAAUCG
rnacentral:rRNA from 1 species